GACAGAGGUGCCGAGCGUUAGGCGGAAUCACUGGGCUUAAAGCGUGUGUAGGCGGAUCUGUAAGUACCUUGUGAAAUCCCACGGCUCAACCGUGGAACUGCUUGGUAUACUGCGGGUCUUGAGCCACCUAGGGGCAAGCGGAACAAACGGUGGAGCGGUGAAAUGCGUAGAUAUCGUUUGGAACGCCAAUGGUGAAAACAACUUGCUGGGGGUGUGCUGACGCUGAGACACGAAAGCCAGGGGAGCAAACGGGG
rnacentral:rRNA from 1 species